rnacentral:rRNA from 1 species
GACGUAGGGCGCGAGCGUUGUCCGGAUUUAUUGGGCGUAAAGCGCUCGUAGGCGGCUUGUUGCGUCGACCGUGAAAACCCGCGGCUUAACUGCGGGCUUGCGGUCGAUACGGGCGGGCUGGAGUUCGGUAGGGGAGACUGGAAUUCCUGGUGUAGCGGUGAAAUGCGCAGAUAUCGGGAGGAACACCUAUGGCGAAGGCAGCUGGCUGGGCCGUUACUGACGCUGAGACGCGAAAGCGUGGGGAGCAAACAGG